CGGAAAUUAUUGCGUUUUACGUACGUACUUUGGUCGUUGCGUUGAAGUGCACGAGAAUAUCAACCAGAACUUGAAGCAGACCCUCUCCGGACAUUGAGUCGAAGGAUAUUAAAUUAUAUUCGUGUAGUUUGUGCCAGUUUGCAGCGUCACUUUUCAACAAUCGAAAUCAAUAAAAAUCCUUUUUCCACAAGAAAAACUUAAAAUUUUGUUUCGGGUGAAAGGAUGUGAUUUUAUCUACGUGCGAACAUCAAAUUGUUAAACUUUGGAACGGAAGUAACCACUUAAAUAAUGGCAACGACUAAAAUAUAAUCAAACUCGCUUCAUAAUGACAAAAAGAAACAUUUUAAAUGGCAUUCCAUCUAGAAAUACAUCGAAUUUUACUGCAGUAUCCAUCUUUGUAAUUAAUAUUCCUUUUAGGAAUAUGCAAAUUCCUAAAAAUGCAUUUGUUACUUUUGAUAAAAUGCAAACCGCGCAUAAAAUUAAAUAAUUAAAAAUGGAAUAAAAAACAAUGGAUUUAGGGCUUUGCGUACAUGGAGUAUAAUAUGGAUUCCUGAAAAGGGAACAACUUGUGUUAGCAAUACAUUUGUGGUAACCAUGUUCAUCCGGAUAUUUUCUAAAGAUCCUUAUUUCCUCGAUAUUUCCACAACAUACAUUUUUCUAUAAUAGUAUUUGUACGUUUCUAUACACCUCACAAAUUUUCCAAAUGUUACAAGCAGAGUUUUUUGGAUUAUUAGGCACGAUAUUAGUUUCCUGCUGCUUGAGUUUACAUGAAAAGAUAUGAAAGGAAACCCAAGGUUUAUAUGUUUGAGUAGUAUAUGAGAUUUUAAUGAACACGUGGAGAAAGUAUUCAUCACGUGAAUGUUUAUGUUUAGCAAUCCGGUGCAAUCAAUUCCUUUCCGUGCUACCUUUUGGCAUUCUUAAACAGAACUAUCCACGAGCGGUAGAUACUAAAACAAUGGAUUUAAAAAUGAACUUACAACUAGUAAUUAUGUAAAAAAGAUAUUGCUUCUUUUUUAUUCACUAAAAAAAUCCUUUUUUUAUUUAAUAAAAAAAUGUUUGAUUUUUCCUAGAAAAUGAAGAUAUAUUUUUGAAAUGUAAGUUGAUGUCUUAGAUAAUUUCUCUACUAAUUUAAGUUAAUAUGGUUUUCUGCUCUCUGGGUUCACUUCUCCCGCCUUGGAUUUAAUUUGGAGCUGGCUGGAUUAUAAUUAACAAAAAUAACAAUAAUAAAAUAAUGAAAUAUACAUCGUGGUGUAGGUGAGUGAGUGAGUAUGGUGAGUGAAGUUAACACUUUCCAUUUAACGGAGGAUCCAAAUUAUAGAGUUGUUUAAGGAUUGGUGGCGUUCGUCGCUAGUAUAUCAAUUUGGACAGGUGUCAAUUUUUAUACCAGGGAAAAAGUGUUCUAGAGGAGAGGCUGCUAUUGAUGGUGUUACAAACAUGAAGCAAAGAUGUACCACCACUACAUUUAUUACAAAUUCGUAAAUAGAGAUGAUAUUCUAACCAUGAGAGUAUCGUGAUAAAAAAUUGUUGCGAUACCGGCAGAUAUACUACAUUAGACGGGAAAUUUCGGCAUCUGAAAGCACUAUGCAAAUACAAGCCCAGAGGAAUGCAAAAAUUCCUACGGAAUUAAAAACCUACAUUCAAAAAAGAGCAAUAUGUAAUACAAAAGGAAAUCCUGGGAACUAGAAGACAGAAAAGGAAGCCUUGAGUCUCUGAUGAAGCAUAGCUUUAAAGGGAAACAAUGCCUUUUUCGUGAAACAUAGAAACAGAUAACCAAAUGGACUGGGCU
rnacentral:lncRNA from 1 species